rnacentral:rRNA from 1 species
CGGACGGGUGAGUAACGCGUGGGUAACCUGCCUUGUACUGGGGGACAACAGUUGGAAACGACUGCUAAUACCGCAUAAGCGCACAGCUUCGCAUGAAGCAGUGUGAAAAACUCCGGUGGUACAAGAUGGACCCGCGUCUGAUUAGCUGGUUGGUGAGGUAACGGCCCACCAAGGCGACGAUCAGUAGCCGGCUUGAGAGAGUGAACGGCCACAUUGGGACUGAGACACGGCCCAAACUCCUACGGGAGGCAGCAUG